AACAAUACCUUAAACAAUAAUACAAAAAUUUUGCCGCGUUCGGACGUGAGUCGCGGAUGAACGCCACUUCGUGAUUGGCACGCUCCAAACAACAACAACAACUAUUGGGACUCUAUUGAGAGUGCGUGAUUUUCGUAGCUUGCAUAUCUCAAUUCUUAUUUAGAAAAAAAGCCAACGCAGCAGCCAAGGAAAUAGAAAAAGAACUGUUAAAGUUUCGAAAUUGUGUGGCUUGAAUGUGGCCA